GAGAUUUAGGAGAGAGGAAAGCCUCAUAAUUUAGCUUUAUAAAACUAAGUGUAACACUCGAGCAAUAUAUACUGUAGAAUACCCACAGGCUGUGGGCAGGGGGCUGUUUCUUGUGUAUUUGCCUGGUCGUGAAGAAACUAGCAUGACUGUUCUUGAAUUUAUCACCCCAUUGGCAGAAUCGUGAGAACAAGGGAAGUAUGAUUGACAAGAGUAAUACCCUAAAGUCCUGACAGCAAAGUGGAGAAGGGUUUGUUCUACUUAAACUAUUAUGAAUCCUAUUCCCUUGAAGUGGGGUGGUGAUAAUACUUUGUCAGCCCUUGUGAUGUGACAGGCAUUCUGAGUUCUAUAGCAUUUACUCUGAUUCAGGAAGCUGGACUAAUGUCUGUCUUCACAAUGUUACCCUAUAACUCCCGGCUUGGUUCUAUGUUUGGUAACGUUGACACUGGAGGAUGUGAAUGUGAAUAGAAAAAGACUCAUGUUCUGGAUACAUUUGUGGUCUAUUUGGGGAAAGAAAACACAAGCAUAUAAAAUAAGUAUGAUACAAGACAUGGCUCAUGCCUUGUCGGAUGGGUAGCAGAGAAAAAAGCGUUGUAAUAGUUCAAGGGGUGGGUGGCUUUUGUGGAGUGGGGUGGGGGAUGAAAGGACUGAUUCACAGAGGAGGAGCAAUAAUUGACAGAAUGCAACUAGGCCAUGCAAAUACAGGGUUGCUAGGAGUGUUGGUACAGCCAGUUAGGAGAGCAAUUUGGCAAAAUCCAUUAUAAUUAUCCAUGAGUAUAAACUGCCAGUUGUCAAGAGCCUUUCUUGAGAAAUACAUAUUCUCAGAAGGAGGCAUGUCUGAGAAUUUCACCUGCAGCUGUGGAUGUAGUGGUGUUAACUGGGGACAAGCUAAAGAAAUAAUUUAACCCAUGGCCAUACAACAGAGUCCAAUGUGGGCAGGAAAGAUAAUCAGAUCACUCUACAUUAGAAACAUGGUAAAACAUCCAAGACAUAAUGUUAAAUGACAUGAAAAGUCAUGUGCAAAAUGACAGCCCCUUCCCUUUUGCCUGCCUUGUAGGCUGUACCUAUUUCCAUCACCUGCAUCACUUACUUGGAAUUCUGUUUCUACGCCCAAACUUUAAUUAACUUUCAAGUUUAAGAGUCCCCAUCGUGGCUUAGUGGUAACGAACCUGACUAGUAGCCAUGAAGAUUUGGGUUCGAUCUCUGACCUUGCUCAGUGGGUCGGGGAUCUGGUAUUGCCGUGAGCUGUGAUGUAAGUCUCAGGCAUGGCUCGGAUCCCGAGUUGCUGUGGCUGUGGUGUAGGUUGGCAGCUGCCGCUCUGAUUUGACCCCUAGCCUGGGAACCUCUAUAUGCUACAGGUGUGGCCCUAUAAAGACAAAACAGGAGUUCCCAUCGUGGCGCAGUGGUUAACGAAUCCAACUAGGAACCAUGUGGUCGUGGGUUUGAUCCCUGCCCUUGCUCAGUGGGUUAAGGAUCCAGCGUUGCCAUGAGCUGUGGUGUAGGUUACAGACGCGGCUCGGAUCCCGCAUUGCUGUGGCUCUGGCGCAGGCCGGCAGCCACAGCUCCAAUUAGACCCCUAGCCUGGGAACCUCCAUAUGCUGUGGAAGUGGCCCUCAAGAGGCAAAAAGACCAAAAAAAAAAAAAAAAAAAAAAAA
rnacentral:lncRNA from 1 species